rnacentral:rRNA from 1 species
UACGAAGGGGGCUAGCGUUGUUCGGAAUUACUGGGCGUAAAGGGCGCGUAGGCUGUGCUGUAAGUCAGGCGUGAAAUCCCCGGGCUCAACCUGGGAAUUGCGCAUGAUACUGCGGCGCUUGAAGACGGGAGAGGAUGGCGGAAUUCCCAGUGUAGAGGUGAAAUGCGUAGAUAUCUGGAGGAACACCGGUGGCGAAGGCGGCAUCCUGGACCGGUAUUGACGCUGAGGCGCGAAAGCCAGGGGAGCAAACGGG